GUUUACCUCAGCACCCGGCUGUCUCUUGAGUCUCACUUGGCUGCAGGGAAGGAAAGUUACUCUUUGCAGACCUGAUGCUAACCCACCCACAGUAAACAAAAGUUCCUCCACUUCAUCUACAGACACAAGUAAGUGCCUUCUCACAGUGUUUCAUAUCAAAUUCCUGAAUGUUAGAAAUGAAUAUUGAAACAAAACAAAACCAAGCCAACGCUGUUGUUUAUUGUAGUACUGACUUUUUGAAAGCAAAUGGCUACAUAGCAGUAUUUGAGAUAUCAGUUAUUUUUCUGCAUAUUGGAAAGCCUGCAGCACCCAAGAUACCACCAUGGGUAGCAGCCAAUCCUGAGAUGCCUGUGAAAGGACAGGCAGCCUCCCUCCCCUAAAGCCAAAUGUGGCCUCAUCACCUCUCCCAUCUGUGCCUGAGUAGCAAAUAGGAACCAGCUGUGUAACAUGCACAGCCCACCCAGCAGCAGGCAAGAGGCUGUCCUGGAGAACUUUUAGAGAAAUUGUGAUAGAAACAAAGAAUGAACAAAGCACCUCUGGCACAGAGAGCAGGAAGAGGACCAGGGAAAGCACUGAAGUAGGUUCUGCCUUUGAAAGGCUGGUGUAGAGCAGGAUGGAGAGGCAUGAGCACAGUGCUUCAAACUGCUGCUUGGACUGCCUAUAUAAGUCACUCACAGUAAGGAAAAGGAAGGAGCAACCCCUGUUGCAAAUACACAUAUUCUGGACUGGGACCUGGAAGAGCAGGUGUAAGCCUAUGGAAAACAAGUUGGCCCCGACAUGUCUAAAUAAAGACAAGUUGUUUGAAAUGCAGCAAGAGGAAAGGGCAAGGAAGACAUAUUUUCUUUGGGGGAGCAUAUCUCUUUACUGGUGGCGUGCUUUCUACCUGUUCAAAAGCAAACUUCAAGGUGACUGAUCGGUCUUAGCCAGCCUGAGUGAGGGAUAACAUUUUCAGAGAGCUGCUACAGAGGAAGGACUACAUGUUACAGGCAAAAUUCAAUGGGAUGCAGAGGAGACUCUGUGGAGAGUGGAGAAUGGAGGCAGGAGCCCAGAAGAGGGCUGGGGAGAGUCACUUGUGCCUCAAGUGACC